rnacentral:rRNA from 1 species
UACGGAGUUACAAAGGACGACAUUAGACGAAUCAUCUGGAAAGAUGAAUCAAAGAAGGUAAUAAUCCUGUAGUCGAAAAUGUUGUCUCUCUUGAGUGGAUCCUGAGUACGACGGAGCACGUGAAAUUCCGUCGGAAUCUGGGAGGACCAUCUCCUAAGGCUAAAUACUCUCUAGUGACCGAUAGUGAACCAGUACCGUGAGGGAAAGGUGAAAAGCACCCCGGAAGGGGAGUGAAAUAGAACCUGAAACCGUGUGCUUACAAGUAGUCAGAGCCCGUUAAUGGGUGAUGGCGUGCCUUUUGUAGAAUGAACCGGCGAGUUACGAUUUGAUGCAAGGUUAAGCAGUAAAUGUGGAGCCGUAGCGAAAGCGAGUCUGAAUAGGGCGUUUAGUAUUUGGUCGUAGACCCGAAACCAGGUGAUCUACCCUUGGUCAGGUUGAAGUUCAGGUAACACUGAAUGGAGGACCGAACCGACUUACGUUGAAAAGUGAGCGGAUGAACUGAGGGUAGCGGAGAAAUUCCAAUCGAACCUGGAGAUAGCUGGUUCUCUCCGAAAUAGCUUUAGGGCUAGCCUCAAGUGAUGAUUAUUGGAGGUAGAGCACUGUUUGGACGAGGGGCCCCUCUCGGGUUACCGAAUUCAGACAAACUCCGAAUGCCAAUUAAUUUAACUUGGGAGUCAGAACAUGGGUGAUAAGGUCCGUGUUCGAAAGGGAAACAGCCCAGACCACCAGCUAAGGUCCCAAAAUAUAUGUUAAGUGGAAAAGGAUGUGGCGUUGCCCAGACAACUAGGAUGUUGGCUUAGAAGCAGCCAUCAUUUAAAGAGUGCGUAAUAGCUCACUAGUCGAGUGACACUGCGCCGAAAAUGUACCGGGGCUAAACAUAUUACCGAAGCUGUGGAUUGUCCUUUGGACAAUGGUAGGAGAGCGUUCUAAGGGCGUUGAAGCAUGAUCGUAAGGACAUGUGGAGCGCUUAGAAGUGAGAAUGCCGGUGUGAGUAGCGAAAGACGGGUGAGAAUCCCGUCCACCGAUUGACUAAGGUUUCCAGAGGAAGGCUCGUCCGCUCUGGGUUAGUCGGGUCCUAAGCUGAGGCCGACAGGCGUAGGCGAUGGAUAACAGGUUGAUAUUCCUGUACCACCUAUAAUCGUUUUAAUCGAUGGGGGGACGCAGUAGGAUAGGCGAAGCGUGCGAUUGGAUUGCACGUCUAAGCAGUAAGGCUGAGUAUUAGGCAAAUCCGGUACUCGUUAAGGCUGAGCUGUGAUGGGGAGAAGACAUUGAGUCUUCGAGUCGUUGAUUUCACACUGCCGAGAAAAGCCUCUAGAUAGAAAAUAGGUGCCCGUACCGCAAACCGACACAGGUAGUCAAGAUGAGAAUUCUAAGGUGAGCGAGCGAACUCUCGUUAAGG